AACUUUGCCAAACCUGCGGGUGGCCGCCGUCCAGCGCCCCCGGGCCGCGGGGAGAGCGGGCGCGGCCCCGGGGCGGCGUGGAGAAGGGCGGGGCGAGAGCGCCGGACGCCUGCCCCCCGGGACGGGCACUGGACGAAGCGGGAGGAGAAAGGCAAGACUAGCCGCUCGGGUGAGGACGAGAGGAUAGAGGGCGAGACGCUUGUUCUUCUGGAUCGGUGGGUGGCUGAUCCCUCGGGUGCGGAUAGUGGGCACUGAGGUGGGGAAGGGGUUAAAAGGGAGCUUGGAGUUCGACCCGUGGUCACUGUUCAGAGCCCUAUGCGCUUUCGGUUUUCCUGGCACUGGUGUUACCCUUCCCCUAAACCUAGAGGACGUGUUUACUUUUCCCUCGCUUUCAGCCUGCCUCCGAUUCACCGGACUGAAUGUUGUGCCCUAGGCGCUGUGUACCUGGGGCGGCAUCAGAUCUUCACGUUUAGACUAGAUUUUCACGUUACUUCGGCAGAGUCCCUUCAGUUUCCGCUCUUACCGUUUGUGGAGUCAAGGUGGGGGCGAGUGUUGGAGCGCCAGGUUUUGAUUGGGACAAAAGAUAAGGUUUCUGCCUUGCGGAGAAGUUUACCAGGCUUCCCCCAUAACUGGGUUAUCCAAAUACAGCAUCUGCGCUUGUGGUUGAACGCUCGUGCUCCUCUCCGGGAGGCUGGCUCCCGCACCCGAGCUGCGCACGCUCUGGCUGGGGCGCUUGGCUGGAGGGUGCAGAGGCUUCCCAGGGAGCCGUCAGAUCUCAGAGGUUUGGACGGGCUCGUACCUUGAAGCAAUUAAAGCUUCUGUUCCAUCAGAUAAGUGCUGCGUCGUCUCUUGCGAGUGAAAUCUGAGGGCUCACAAUGUUAAUGGGCUCACGUCUUUCCCUUGAUAAUACGGUUUUGUUUACUGAGCGUGGAGAGACGGGAAAUAAAAGUGCAACUGGCACAGGAAAUGAAGACUAGAAAGGUUACAAAGACCGGCUUUACAUGGACAAACUUUUCAACUUCCUUGAACAUUUCUUUGGGGCUGCAGGAAAAUAGCAAAACUAUAUAAAUAAAUGUUAUUUACACACAGCAGUCAUGAGAGAGGGUGGCUUCCUAAAACUGUGUGAAUACGGUCUACUCUUGACUUAUUCAAGUGCCCUUGAGAAUUUGAUCUAUUAUAGCCUCUUAGUUAUGGUGACGGAGGUUUUAUUAUUGUUUCACUGAUCCACUUGUCAUGCAAGAGCGAUUGAGCCCUUGCCUAAAAUUCCACUCUGAGGAAGCCAGGAAAAUAGGAGCCAUCACAGUCCGGGGAGCCAGUUCCUUACAGGGAUGUGAACCUGUGAAUAAACAGAGCCACACCGGAAGUGUUACCCUGGUGAGGCUGAAGUUAAGCCAAGGUGGGGAGGGGGGAGGUGGAGGGUACCCAGCUAGGAGUGAGCACAAAGCUAAUAGUUCUGGUGUUGCGGCACUGCUGGAGUUCUGGGAUUUGGUUGGGAAAUGGAAUCCUGUGCUGAAGAUGGCCCUUCAAACUUGAUGUUGCUACUUCAGUCUUUUCCUUUAGCCAAUCAGAUGACAAAAGUCCUAAAUAGUUCUUUGAAAGAGAAAAAUAGAGUCUCUUUUCUAGCUCUCUGGACAGGGAAUGGUAGAGCUCUUCAGACCUAGCUGAGACUUAUAUGAAGAAACAUUUUUUUGCUGUCCCCAACUCUGAUGGCCAUACAAAAAUAUCAGCGACCCAGAUGCUGCUGAGUUCACAUAACACCUCAUGCACCCCUGGCUAGACUUUAAGAGCCAGUUUUUACCAGGAUAGUGACCUAGCAUGCACACCUCUGUCUAAAUCAGUCUUUCUCUCGAAAGGUUUUCGGUUAAUCACAACUCCUAGGCCCAGAAGCCCCAGCAGGUCAAGAAGGAAGAUGGCCUUCUAAACCUCUCUGGAGAAGGCAUCCUGCAGGCUGCAACUCAGGAUGUAGGACAGAAAACUAAGCCUAAUUGCCCGGCAGAUCUGACCAAAACCUAUCACACUAAGGGCCUUUGCUCUAAGGUUUCAGGGAAAACAGGCAGCCUAGGUGCCUUGGCAAACUUCAUUGCAACAGAGACCAGGCUUCUGCUGCUAAGCACUUGGGGCAAAGGUUGGGUCCUUCCUGUCACAAUUAAGCAUUGACUUUGAUCCACCCGUGAGCUGUCUACACUGUUUCUCUGAAGCAAAAUUUUGGAGAUUGAACUUUCGCUGGUGGAAGAAAAUGUCCUAAAAGAGAAUGAGAUUUUUUUCUUAAAAUUGUAUUGUUUUGUUUUCAGAACUAUGAGUGAGAGUUGCCGGGAGGAGGGUGUUCAAUAUUCGUUCAGACCCAAUUGCAGUUCAAUGAUCAUUGCGUACAGAGAGCUACAUUCUGUUCGUCCUUCUCUCUACUCCCUUUAACCUCUCAGGCUUUGGCAUAUCCUACACCUUGGGCCAAGAGCUGCCAUCUCAACUCCUGGACUGGUCCUUGACUUAUUCAUAUUGGAGCCGAGACUCUGGUCAUCUCAGACUCAGAUUCAUCAUUUCCCAAGGACCUACUGUGUAAGAACAUUUUGUUAGGGGAGGUCUAGGCUGCACAAAAAAAGAUACUCUCAAACCAAAGGAACAAGGGAUUCAUUUCUGGCACAGGUCUCGACUAUGCUAUAAAUCUACUCCAGAAGAAUGUGAAUCUAUAGUUCUCUAAGGAGAGAUUGGAAGAUAUUAUUGGAGGAGCUAUAUGCAGAAAGAUGUGAACAUAGGAUAUUUUGAGUAACUUUAAAGUUUGUCUCCUAGAUGUUCACAGAGUAUGGGAGAAAUGUCUUACUAAUUUUAUUGCUUGUUCAAGUCAUGAAUUCCCAAGGGUCACUUGCCCUGCCAGGUCCGGGUGCUGUGAGUUCUCAGCAGGAGGUGACAGCAGAGGGGCCUGAUUGCCAGGUUGUGUUUGAUGUAGGAAUGCUUUGAAAUCUCUCCCAUACUGCUAACCAGGGCAGCCACCCUGAAACCCCACCCCCCAUGACAACCUUUGUCUCUCAUUCAAACAACAAACUUUUUUUUCUCCUGCAGACAGAAGACAGAAGUGAGGGAGGGUGACACUCUGGUCUUCUGUAUGUUUACAGUUGUUCCUAAGAAGCCUCUUGCAACCCCUCUCCACGAGCCUCUUCAUGUUACCCCUUGGAGACGCUUUGAGCACAUGCAGACUUUUGGCUCCACAGCCCCAAAGGGUAGAAGGGCUCUUGCUUGUUGGGGUGAAAAGUGGAGGGGGGGGAAUGGGGGGUGGAUUCUGGGCUUUUCUCUCAAGCAAGAUUUGUAGUUCUCUGCAGAAGCCUUCAGUCAUCCCAUGAUGGAAGUGGGGGUGAAGGACAGGAAUUCUAAACCUAUCAGAAGCCUGAUAACAGGACCCUCCUUGAGGAAAACAGUUUGGAGUGCUGUGCCUUUCCCUGAGAGCUUUGUGAAUGAAAGGCUCAUGGGUCAAGCCCUUGCCUGGCACACAGUAAACAUACAAGAAAUGUUUGUUGGACAGAAAUAAAAAUGGACAGAAUGGUGUGUUUUUACCAUGACUAAUAUCGGAUAAAAGAUAUCUUUAGAUAACGGCUCCCAAAACCAAUUCAUGUGGGUGGAAAUCAGCAUAGAAGCUUCUUUAAAAGUGCAGGUUCCUGAGCCCACCCAAGAGAUUUUUAUCUACUAUGCCUGACUCCAGUAGGAGUUGUGAUAAGCCUCUUGAGUGAUUCUCAAGCAGGGUUCUUGGGAACCAUAUUUUGAGAAUUUCUGCCUCUCAGAAAUUGAGGUGGGCAAUGUGGGAAGAGAGGGGUAAUUCGGUGGGAGGGGCCCUUGGCUAGCAUCAUGAGAGCUCAUGGCUAGCGGGAACAUUAUACCUGAACAGUGCCCAGAAGCCUCUUGGGUGGUAGGGGCAGAGAAUGUGAAAUGGCUCUCACAUUUUGGUUUGGCAGCCUAAGUCUAGUUGGGGUGAAGUUUUAUAAAAUAUCCUUAAGUAGUAGUCAGUAGAACUUUCCCAAGUUUUGCUGAUAAAAUAGUGCUUUGCAGAGACCUGGCUUCCGCUCCUUGUCACCUUCCUAACUUGGCUUUAGGGAUGCCAGUAAGGUAGGAAGUGAAAGGCGUUUGUCUCUCCCAGUCUCUUUAGAGAAAAUGUAGAGUAGUUCUGAGGUAAUGGAAAGAAGGAAGGAGGAGUAGGAAUAGGAGUCUCAAGAGGGCGGAGCCAACUCUUCUUUCCUUCCACCUCUCCCAAAUUGUCUGGAAUGAACAUCUGAGCUCCGGGGAGCCAGAGGGAAUGAAAUGUCCCUUGGCCUAAGCUGUAACUCUUCCUUUGAUUAAAGAUCAAGAUGUCAUAAAAUGUCAGUGCAAGAAGGCCCCUUAGAGAUGAGUGACAUUGAACCCCUCAUUUCAGAGAGGAAGUAACUUUACUCAGUGGUUAAAAGACAAAACUAUCGGGGUACCUGGGUGGCUCAGUCGGCUGGGCAUCCGACUUUGGCUCAGGACAUGAUCUUGCAGUCUGUGAGUUCAAGCCCCGCAUCGGUCUCUGUGCUGACAGCUCAGAGCCUGAAACCUGCUUUGGAUUCUGUCUCCCUUGCUCUCUGCCCCUCCCCCACUCCUGCUCUGUCUCUCUCUCUCUCUCAAAAAUAAAUAAACAUUAAAAAAAAAAAAGACAAAACUACCCUGCAAAAAAUGAGGGAACUAACUUGGGUCUCCCGACUGUCUACAGUCUGCUGCCUGUCCACAGUGUACGAAGAGGAAAGAGUAAAACAGCCCCUCCUUUGCACUGUGGCAGGGUCAAUGCUGAGCAAGCAGAGCAGUGUUGAAGGAGACACCCUUGUUUCUGGGAGGCCACACAGGCAGUGUGACUGCCUGGGAGGCUUGCUGGCCUCCCUUUGCAACUUGCUGAACUGGUGCUCCAGACUUCUGAGGCCCAACCUUGAGCUACUCCUAGAGAAGGCAGAGAUGGAUCUGGGUCCCCACCCCCUCCACCACGCAAGGGUUAAGGAUCCCCUCAUUUCCUGCUGAGCUUGACCCCUGGGGGAUCAAAACCAGAGGUGUCUUUCCAUUAAUGUAACUGGAUAGUACAAAUUUAGGACCGUGUGAACACAGGUAUAUCCAGGUCGGUUACACUUGUACUAAUCUUUUUCUCCUUUAUUUUUUAAAUAGGGUAUACAUUGAAAUUUACAUGGUUCAAGAUUCAAAGGGUACACAGUGGUAUGCAGUGAGCAUCUUUCUCCCAUCACCUAGUUCUCCUUCAACAUAGGCACCAGUUAAGAGUUUCUUACAUGUCUUUCCAGAGAUACCUUAUACGUUUCUAUCUAUCUAUAAAUCCCCCCACGUUUUUUUUUUGGGGGGUUUUUUUUUUUUUUGGUUUUUUUGCUUAAAUGAUGGUGUACCAGACAGACUCUCUCGCACCAUGUUUUUUCCCCUGUUGUAUCUUGAAGAUCAUUUCCUAUAAAUGCAUACAGAACUUCCUGGCUUAUUUUUACAACUUCAUGCUGUUCUGCUGUACACACCUACCACAAUUUAUUUAACUAAUCCCCUAUUAAUGGAUAUUUCGCUUAUUAUUCAUUGUUUUCCCAUUACAAACACAUGUUCAAGUUUUUAACCUAUUAGAAAAAUCCCCAGACAUGGAAUUACUUAGUCAAAAGUAUGUGCACUGGCAAUCUUGACGCAGAUUGCCAUAUUGCUCUCCUUAGAUGUGAAUCACUUUAUGCUUCUGCCAGCAACAUAUGAGAAUUCCUGUUACCUCAUACCCGUGCCAAGUCAGUGGGAUAGUAAAAGUUUUUAUUUUUGCCAGUCUGAUAAAUAAAGAAUAAUACCUUUUACUUAUCCUUAUAGCAUCUCCAAAAAUGCCAUUCUUUUUUUAUCUUGUUUGAUCCUUUCAUAAUUCUAGUUUACAAAUAGUAAUGGCGACACAGAAAAGAUAAACUGUUGGUCGUUAUCCCACCCAAUGUAAAUGGCCAAGGUCAGACGUUCAGCACUCUUUCCUGUACUGCCCUGUGCCCCGAGGAAGCCUAAGGAGAUUCAGAGAGAGUGGGUGGCUUCAAGCAUUCCCCGAAAGACACAUGAUAUAAAAAAGCUUUCCGACAUCUGCUAAGAGGCCUCCUCCUUAGUGGUCUGAUACCAAGACCACAUUUCUGCAUGUGUCCCUGGAGAGUACCCUCCGGAAGCAGAGGAGUUCUAAUUAGCAAUAUGAUCUGACCUAGUCCUAAGCAUUAGCCUGUGUUCAAUAUCUGGGAAGCAGUAGGUGUUGUUUUUAAUUUUCCUGAGACUUAUUUCUCACUGGACAUCCAGGAUCUAAGUUAUUGAUCAGCAUGGUGUGGGUAAGAGGAUGUUUUCCCUCGGUUUUAGCUUUGCCUGUGAUUCUCAUUUAGACCUGGUGAAGAUACCUGGUGAAGAUAACACACACACACACACACACACACACACACACACACACACACACACACGCAACUUUACUGAUAAACUUAUGAGGUAGAUAUCUAUUGACUGUUUCACUGAAGAUGAAACUGAAGGCCAGAAAGAUUAAGUGUAUUGUUUAGGGUCAUACAAUGUAUCAGCAAAACAGAAAAUACAGUGUAGACCUAAAACAGAAGUCCUUAGUUUCCCCCUGCAAAAUCUUCUUUUUCCCCUUCCUGUAUUCAUUUUGGUGAAUGACCUGGCUACCCAAUCAGGGCCUCUAAAUAGAAGCCUAGGGAUUAACAUCCAUAACUCCUCUUUCACUUGUCCAACUGUCAGCAAGUCCUGUGAAUUUGUCCUCCUAAAUGUCUUCCCUCUUCAUCCUCGUUACCUUAGUUCCUCCCUAGGCUGGAUUAUUGCAGCAGCUUCCCCUUCUUCUUUCCUUCUUGCCUCCUAUCCCUCCUCCAGUCAGACACAGCAUCCCUCCCAAAGAGCAAGCUUUCCAAAUAGAUAACGUCAUGUCCCAGUUUAAAAACUUCAGUGGCUUCUCACUGCCUGCAGAUUAAUUCCAGACUCCUUUCCACGGACCUCAUACAACCUCUUUUGCCAGCCAGAUACUCUACUCCAAACUCUCUUUGUUCCAGGUCUAGACCUUGUUCUUUCUUCCCUCCCUGCUUGCGUGUGCUGCUCUUUCCACCGAGUAUGUCCUUCCUUCCUAGACCUAAAAAGCUCAUACUUCAGGAAUCAAAAUUCACCUCCUCUGAGAAGCCUUUUCUGACACUACACUUGUGUUAGUGGCUCCUUCUCUUUAUUCCAGGAACCUUUAGGCCAUACUUCUGUUCUAGCGUCUGUCACAGUUUUAGGAUUCUUUUUCUUCCCCAGUAGAUCAAAAGGCAUACACUAUUAGUGACCCAUUUUUAGAUCUCAAAGCCCAACACAGUGCACACAGGAGCUGUUCAGCAGGUAUUGCUGAAAGGCAAGGAGAGAGAGAGACUCUGACCCAAGGACAAGAGGACCAGUAUUUUAAUUGCUUAAAGAAUUCAGGACACUGUGCAAGACUUAAUGCUACAGCUUCUAUCUAUCUAAAGUAAAAUGAUAGUAGAACAUCUCUCCAAAGCAAGUUAAUUUCCACCUGAGAGGAUGCUGAGAGAGAAGACAGGGAGGGAGGAGCUGGGAUUUUGUCUUUCAGGGGCUCUUCCUAUAGGCUAAGGCAACAACUUUUAACUAACGUCAGAAAUUUCUCAGCUGAUGUCACUCAAAAAGAGGGUAAAAGGGGGGGUAGCCUGAAACUUUCUUAGAACUUACCGAGGACUACAAGCACCACCGUAAGAACGCUUCACCACCCACUUUACCCAUGACCUCCUGCUGCAAACAGCUCUAAUGCUAAUGACCUCCUUCUCUCUCCCUCCACCAACGCUCACAGUUUUCAGUCUAUCCCUUUCUGGUAUUUCUAAAAUGAACCCCAAAAGAGCUGAAGUAAAAAUACUCCAGUCCUUCCUUCACACUUGAAAAGAGAGAGGCAUAUCAUUAUGGUUGGCAUUUUACGUAUAUUUUAAUUGUUCUUUUUAUAUGGCAUUCAGGUUUAGUUCCAAGUUUAACAGGGAUACCCUUGCUUCCUUCCAAAUAAAUUACUCCUGCAGGUAAAUAAGAGAACUAAACUAGCUCUGCCCCAUCCCUGAAUUCUAGUCCCCUGGGAAUCUUUUUUUUUUUUUUUUUUUUUAAGACUCUUACAUAGUGUCUGCGAAACCUGGGAUUUUCCUCUUCCCUUUCCAGGGGUACAGCUGCGCUAAGGGUGUGACGGGGGGCGGGGAGCAGGGGGGGGCAGGGUAUACAGUCUCCGUGCGUCUGGGGCGGGCGCGGGGGCCGCCCCUUAGGAGAGCCGUGGGCUGCAAGGGGUCCGGAGGCGGGGCCGGCAGGCGGCCGGGAGUACCGGGAGUGGGGGGGGGGGGGUGUCCGGCCUCGCGCCGCAGAGCUUGGGGCAGCGGGUCGCGCCCUCCGUGAGCGCUCACCCCGGGUGCCUGUGUCUCCUCUGCUUGCGGUUUCUGGUCGGCUCCCAGCUGGCCCAGACUUGCUCUGAAGUAGGAGGAACCGCUGUCGAGUGAAGAGUGCACACCGGGUGAUUGAUGAAUUCUUAAUAGGACUAACCUCUCCCGCCACCACCCCCCCCCGACCCUCGACACACACUGAGAAAUCCUUCACCCAAGCCCCCCCCCGCCCCCCCCCUCCCCAGGCCUCGUCGCCGGCGAGAGGGGACGCGGCCGCCAGCCGGUUGGGUGAUUAACUCACCGUUUGUCUUUCGGAAAGUGUGCCAGGUGGAUUGAGGCAGCCUGGCCGCUCCGGCUCUCUGCUGACUGCGCCGGGCUGCAGGCCGGAGAGCGCGGAACGAGCGCGCGCGUCACAUGGUGGCGCGGCCCGGAGCCGGCCUUUGUGCCGCGCGACCGCCCGGCCGCCCCGGGGAGGCGGCGGCUAUUGUUCCCCGCGGGGGAGGGAGGUGCUCAGACUCGGGGUCCACGCCAGCCUCCUCCCCAGAGUGUCCCCACAUCUGAGGACGGGUGGGGGCUUCCUUUGUGUGUUUUGGGCCUGCGACGGGAAUGGCGCGCCGUUGCCGCCCCAAGGGGCCGCAGAAGGGGCCGAGAGGUUGGUGCCAGCGCUGUCGCUACUUCGAGCUCGGCCCAACCGACCGACCCAGUUUCCCGCUCUGCCCUUGCGGAAGAGACGGGGAGGGAUGUGGUAUUUGUAGGGCAUGCGCUUGGAACAAUAGAGCCAUCAAAAGGCCUUCUCCCUGGUCUCCUCCCAAGGCAGCUAGGCUCUUCUCCCCUCUUUCGGAAAGGCCGUGGCCCAACAGGUCCUCUUGGCCUGAUUUUAGGCCUGCUUUCCCAGUAAAAACACUUCAUCUGUUCUCCACAAAUCCUAAUUUAAAGUCUCCUCCUUGGACUCUUACUGAUGUAAACAUCCCAUUUUCAUUAUUUUCCAGAUAUUAUUCUUCCAUAAAUUGAUCCAGACUACCAUAGGAACCAGUCAAGAUAUUUUGCCACAGGAUCUAGGACAAGAGGAUUUACCUACUAUUGCCCACCUUGCAAAUCUCCUAGGGACCUUUCACCUGCUUCUGCUACUGCAAAUGAUUGGACAUCCAUUUACAUUUCCUCUUCUUCAUGUGUGGAAGGAAACUUUUGUUCACUGUGCUUCAGGCUGCCCCUGGCCUGAAAGUGGGUCCUUGAAUUCCCCUUGUACCAUUCCAACUUGCCAAGGUGGUUAUGAGACCUGAGGGAGGUGUUUAGGCGUGGACUUUGGGCCAGGUGUGUAAAUCCAUUUGGUACCAACUUUGGGCCCCAAGGAUAAGGGCAUGUGUAGCUGCACCAGAAGAGAGGGGAACAGUGAAAACUAAAAUUUCACCCUCUGUGAUGAUCUUCACCACCACCAGUACCAACAAUGUUGUAAGUACAGAGGAUUCACCUACCCAGUCGUUUUUCCUCUCCAUCCGGGCCCUCUGCAAGAGUGAGCCAGUGCUCAGAGAUGGUGGAGGGUAUGGCUGGUGACUCAGUCUCAACUGUGUCUCAACUGUGUCCAAAGUGUCUAGGGAGAAGUCUGCUCACCGGUAGCUAUAUCCUCUCUGGGAAGGCACAGUGCCCUAAAGUGGUGAGGCUGUAGGCCUGUGGGAACUGGGGCCUCCUGCCCCUCUUUUUAUUUUUAUUUAAUACUCACAAACUUCUCUUCAUUCCCCCCCUUUUUUUCCCUUACAGUUUCUGAAAGAAGGACGGAAGUAACACCAAGAACUCCCAGAUGAAGAGGACCUUCCUGGAUCUGUAACUGGGAUUAACCAGUUCUUUACUGGGAGAGAAAGUUUCAACUAAUCCUCAGGAUAAAAGCAAACAGGCCUGUGACUGUCCCUUGAACACUGACAGUGUAAACAAGCUUCUGGCUCCUCCAGGUCAAGCAGAGCAACACUUUUCAUUAGAAUGUUGGGUUUCUUCUUUGUUAUUCAAACAUACACCCACACACAUCCCCUUGUCCCUCCCUAAUGAACAAACCUCAACAGAUGGAGAGCCUAGGCUCCCAAGACUUAUGACUGAGAAGAUGCACUUCACUCAAGGUGGGUUGGCUUGUACAGAAUGGGGGAGAGAGAAGAAAUGGGAAGCUAGUAUAGGUAAUUACUCCUCUUUUAAUACUCCUUACAGAUAGAAAUCCAAAAAAUCCUGUUCCGCAAGGUUAGCAGCCUCUGGGGCCUGGGAAACCGAUUUGGCUGAUGUGUCUGUGAUAGGGACUAGGCUUGGGGCUGCACCAGGGGGAAAGUACUCACUCUAUAUUCUAUCAUUCUCUCUCAUUUGAAAGCCUGUACAAAGAAAUGGUACAAAUGGAUGGUUAACUUAAUGAUUGCAUCAGAGGCGGAUUUUUCUCUGUCAGGACCCAGGAUGAGGCUGAGGUCUGAAAGCCAGGAGGCAGAACAUUU
rnacentral:lncRNA from 1 species